rnacentral:rRNA from 1 species
AGUGAACGCUGGCGGUAGGCCUAACACAUGCAAGUCGAACGGCAGCACAGUAAGAGCUUGCUCUUACGGGUGGCGAGUGGCGGACGGGUGAGGAAUACAUCGGAAUCUACUUUUUCGUGGGGGAUAACGUAGGGAAACUUACGCUAAUACCGCAUACGACCUACGGGUGAAAGCAGGGGAUCUUCGGACCUUGCGCGAUUGAAUGAGCCGCUGUCGGAUUAGCUAGUUGGCGGGGUAAAGGCCCACCAAGGCGACGAUCCGUAGCUGGUCUGAGAGGAUGAUCAGCCACACUGGAACUGAGACGCGGUCCAGACUCCUACGGGAGGCAGCAGUGGGGAAUAUUGGACAAUGGGCGCAAGCCUGAUCCAGCCAUCCCGCGUGGGUGGAGAAGGCCUUCGGGUUGUAAAGCCCUUUUGUUGGGAAAGAAAAGCAGCAGGUUAAUACCCCGCUGUUCUGACGGUACCCAAAGAAUAAGCACCGGCUAACUUCGUG